rnacentral:rRNA from 1 species
GACGAACGCUGGCGGCGUGCCUAAUACAUGCAAGUAGAACGCACAGUUUAUACCGUAGCUUGCUACACCAUACACUGUGAGUUGCGAACGGGUGAGUAACGCGUAGGUAACCUGCCUGGUAGCUGGGGAUAACUAUUGGAAACGAUAGCUAAUACCGCAUAAUAUUGAUUAUUGCAUGAUAAUUGAUUGAAAGAUUCUAUUGCAUCACUACCAGAUGGACCUGCGUUGUAUGAGCUAGUAGGUGAGGUAACGGCUCACCUAGGCGACGAUACAUAGCCGACCUGAGAGGGUGAUCGGCCACACUGGGACUGAGACACGGCCCAGACUCCUACGGGAGGCAGCAGUAGGGAAUCUUCGGCAAUGGACGAAAGUCUGACCGAGCAACGCCGCGUGAGUGAAGAAGGUUUUCGGAUCGUAAAGCUCUGUUGUAAGAGAAGAACGGGUGUGAGAGUGGAAAGUUCACACUGUGACGGUAUCUUACCAGAAAGGGACGGCUAACUACGUG